GCUCAGCAGAGCCCUUUCUGCAAGCAUUGGCCCGAGAGAACUGAGUUCCUUUCCUUGCUCCAUCACUGGAGUUCUGUGCUUCUACCUGCUUCCCUGCAAAACAGGGGAAACUCCUCUCCGUUCUCUGGCCAGGAUCAGUUUUCAGUGGCAUCAGAGGCUGCCAGGCAACACGGUGAACUGAUCAACUAUGAGAUCAUUCUAAGUCAUGACAUGUUGGACUCUUGCCAAAAUUAUCUGGUUUAAGGAUCUUAUCAUGCCCUCGCCCCCUCCAAAAGAGAACGCAAUUUCUGAUCAGCAGACUGAAGGUCCAGAGUUGUGAACCCGUGGGUUUGGCCUGGGGACGCGGGACUUGGCUCUGUAGUCUGUCAACUCACACCCGACCUCCUGGCGUCAGGUUCCUCCCUUUUCAUUCUCAAGGUACGUAUCUUACAUCAGGUGUUGGAUAAAAGUGCUGCUUCUAUUGCUAUUAUUGGGCCAUUUUGUUGUGACAGAGCGAAAAAUAGGUAUUUCUUUAAGGUCAUGAAAUCAUAUUGAUUUCUCCAA